AUACGGAGGGUCCGAGCGUUAUCCGGAAUCAUUGGGCUUAAAGGGUCCGUAGGCGGUAAUCUAAGUCAGUGGUGAAAUCUUGCAGCUUAACUGUAAAAUUGUCAUUGAUACUGGAUUUCUUGAAUUAGUGUGAAGUGGUUAGAAUGUGUAGUGUAGCGGUGAAAUGCAUAGAUAUUACACAGAAUACCAAUUGCGAAGGCAGAUCACUAACACUAUAUUGACGCUGAGGGACGAAAGCGUGGGGAGCGAACAGGAUUAGAAACCCGAGUAGUCC
rnacentral:rRNA from 1 species